UGAGUACACAAGUUUCUUUUAACCUUUCAAAAUAAAAAUGUGUACUGGAGGGACUUUAGACUGCUUUCCUUUAACCUGCUUUGGACUGAACUCCAAACAUGGUGACCAAGAAAUGUACAAAGUGUUCCUGCUGAUAUCCUGGAGUGAGGGGUGGGGUGAUAGCAGUGCACAGAAGGGAGAGCCUUUGUUUUGCUGUUGCUGGAGACAUGACGACAGGCAGUGCUUGGCUCCACCUAGACAAUGACCGGCUCCUUGCUGUUCUGCGCCUUUCUCCCUCUGAUCGUGGCGGCUGGCUUGAGGCUCACACCCCCUGCGCACAAGACACAGGAAGUGGACCCCAGUGACCCCGAGGUUCAAGCCUGUGCCUCUUUUGCCCUGGAGAGUUUCAACUUCUUCAGCAAAGACCCACACAUCUAUGCCAUCACCAAGUUCUACUCGGUCAAGAGAGCUGAUGUCGGUGGCGGACAGUAUGACAUGGAUGUGGAAGUAACAAAAACCCAGUGGUUGAAAGACCAAGUGAGCAAAGGCUCCUCAACCGAUCAAGAGGUGUUCCGGUGUCACUUCGUGGUCCUCAGCGCUCCAUGGAAGAAGCAGAGAGCUCUUCUUCAGAGCUCCUGUACUCCUGUGGUCAGCACUGGUGCCGGCAUGCACUAAUCUUGAAAUAAUGUGCCACAAAUCUUACAGCUUCACUGCUAGCACUCACUGUGCCCCCCAGGGUCUCCAUCACCCUGCACUUAUGAACCCAUCAGGAUCUGUCUGCCAAAAUUCACAUGCCAAUAAAACCUCCUGUUGUGGAACUAACA
rnacentral:lncRNA from 1 species